UACGUAGGGUGCGAGCGUUAAUCGGAAUUACUGGGCGUAAAGCGUGCGCAGGCGGUUCGUUAAGUCAGAUGUGAAAGCCCCGGGCUCAACCUGGGAACUGCAUUUGAAACUGGCGGGCUUGAGUGUGGCAGAGGGGGGUGGAAUUCCGCGUGUAGCAGUGAAAUGCGUAGAGAUGCGGAGGAACACCGAUGACGAAGGCAGCCCCCUGGGCCAACACUGACGCUCAGGCACGAAAGCGUGGGGAGCAAACAGG
rnacentral:rRNA from 1 species